GACAGAGGGGGCAAGCGUUGCUCGGAAUUAUUGGGCGUAAAGCGCACGUAGGCGGCAUCGCAAGUCCCAUGUGAAAGCCCACGGCUUAACCGUGGAAGUGCAUGGGAAACUGCAGUGCUUGAGUACUUAAGAGGAUCGCGGAAUUCCCGGUGUAGAGGUGAAAUUCGUAGAUAUCGGGAGGAACACCAGUGGCGAAGGCGGCGAUCUGGGAAGAUACUGACGCUGAGGUGCGAAAGCGUGGGGAGCAAACAGG
rnacentral:rRNA from 1 species